rnacentral:misc_RNA from 1 species
ACCACGGAGUGAUUCAUGACUGGGGUGAAGUCGUAACAAGGUAGCCGUAGGGGAACCUGCGGCUGGAUCACCUCCUUAAUCGAAGAUCCCGGCUUCUUCAUAAGCUCCCACACGAAUUGCUUGAUUCACUGGUUAGACGAUUGGGUCUGUAGCUCAGUUGGUUAGAGCGCACCCCUGAUAAGGGUGAGGUCGGCAGUUCGAAUCUGCCCAGACCCACCAAUUGUUGGUGUGCUGCGUGAUCCGAUACGGGGCCAUAGCUCAGCUGGGAGAGCGCCUGCUUUGCACGCAGGAGGUCAGGAGUUCGAUCCUCCUUGGCUCCACCAUCUAAAACAAUCGUCGAAAGCUCAGAAAUGAAUGUUCGUGGAUGAACAUUGAUUUCUGGUCUUUGCACCAGAACUGUUCUUUAAAAAUUCGGGUAUGUGAUAGAAGUAAGACUGAAUGAUCUCUUUCACUGGUGAUCAUUCAAGUCAAGGUAAAAUUUGCGAGUUCAAGCGCGAAUUUUCGGCGAAUGUCGUCUUCACAGUAUAACCAGAUUGCUUGGGGUUAUAUGGUCAAGUGAAGAAGCGCAUACGGUGGAUGCCUUGGCCAACAGGCAAA